GACGAACGCUGGCGGCGUGCCUAAUACAUGCAAGUUGAGCGCUGAAGGUUGGUACUUGUACCAACUGGAUGAGCAGCGAACGGGUGAGUAACGCGUGGGGAAUCUGCCUUUGAGCGGGGGACAACAUUUGGAAACGAAUGCUAAUACCGCAUAAAAACUUUAAACACAAGUUUUAAGUUUGAAAGAUGCAAUUGCAUCACUCAAAGAUGAUCCCGCGUUGUAUUAGCUAGUUGGUGAGGUAAAGGCUCACCAAGGCGAUGAUACAUAGCCGACCUGAGAGGGUGGUCGGCCACAUUGGGACUGGGACACGGCCCAAACUCCUACGGGAGGCAGCAGUAGGGAAUCUUCGGCCAUGGACGAAAGUCUGACCGAGCAACGCCGCGGGAGUGAAGGAGGUUUUCGGAUCGUAAAACUCUGUUGGUAGAGAAGAACGUUGGUGAGAGUGGAAAGCUCAUCAAGUGACGGUAACUACCCAGAAAGGGACGGCUAACUACGUG
rnacentral:rRNA from 1 species